CAGUGGCGGAGUGGAUAACGCGAUCGUGUUUGAAGUGGAAGGUACGGGGUUCAAAACCCGGAGUGAA
rnacentral:tRNA from 1 species